rnacentral:rRNA from 1 species
UACGUAGGGGGCAAGCGUUGUCCGGAAUUAUUGGGCGUAAAGGGCUCGUAGGCGGUCUGUCGCGUCGAAAGUGAAAACCCAGGGCUUAACCCUGGGCCUGCUUCCGAUACGGGCAGACUAGAGGUAUGCAGGGGAGAACGGAAUUCCUGGUGUAGCGGUGAAAUGCGCAGAUAUCAGGAGGAACACCGGUGGCGAAGGCGGUUCUCUGGGCAUUACCUGACGCUGAGGAGCGAAAGUGUGGGGAGCGAACAGG